GACGAACGCUGGCGGCGUGCUUAACACAUGCAAGUCGAACGGAAAGGCCCUGCUUUUGUGGGGUGCUCGAGUGGCGAACGGGUGAGUAACACGUAAGUAACCUGCCCUUGACUUUGGGAUAACUUCAGGAAACUGGGGCUAAUACCGGAUAGGAGCUCCUGCUGCAUGGUGGGGGUUGGAAAGUUUCGGCGGUUGGGGAUGGACUCGCGGCUUAUCAGCUUGUUGGUGGGGUAGUGGCUUACCAAGGCUUUGACGGGUAGCCGGCCUGAGAGGGUGACCGGCCACAUUGGGACUGAGAUACGGCCCAGACUCCUACGGGAGGCAGCAGUGGGGAAUAUUGCACAAUGGGCGGAAGCCUGAUGCAGCAACGCCGCGUGCGGGAUGACGGCCUUCGGGUUGUAAACCGCUUUCGCCUGUGACGAAGCGUGAGUGACGGUAAUGGGUAAAGAAGCACCGGCCAACUACGUG
rnacentral:rRNA from 1 species